AUCCAACUGACGAGUCCUAAACAGGACGAAAUGCUCACAUUGGAU
rnacentral:hammerhead_ribozyme from 1 species